rnacentral:rRNA from 1 species
CCUACGGGUGGCAGCAGUAGGGAAUCUUUCACAAUGGGCGAAAGCCUGAUGGCGCAACGCCGCGUGCAGGAUGAAGGCCUUCGGGUUGUAAACUGCUUUUAUAAGCGAGGAAUCUGAUGGUAACUUAUGAAUAAGGAUCGGCUAACAACGUGCCAGCAGCCGCGGUCAUAAGUAGUAGUCGAGCCUUAUCCGGAUUGACUGGGUGUAAAGAGUUGCGUAGGUGGCAUAAUAAGUAGCUAGUGAAAUCUGGUGGCGCAACCAUUCAGACUAUUAGCUAAACUGUUAAGCUCGAGACCGUUAGGGGUAACUGGAAUGUCUAGUGUAGGAGUGAAAUCCGUAGACAUUAGAAGGAACACCAAUAGCGUAGGCAGGUUACUGGGACGGUUCUGACACUAAGGCACGAAAGCGUAGGGAGCAAACGGGAUUAGAUACCCUAGUAGUC